GAACGGGGAGGAGCCCAGAGCCUGAAUCAGUGUGUGUGUUAGUGGAAGCGUCUGGAAAGGCGCGCGAUACAGGGUGACAGCCCCGUACACAAAAAUGCACAUGCUGUGAGCUCGAUGAGUAGGGCGGGACACGUGGUAUCCUGUCUGAAUAUGGGGGGACCAUCCUCCAAGGCUAAAUACUCCUGACUGACCGAUAGUGAACCAGUACCGUGAGGGAAAGGCGAAAAGAACCCCGGCGAGGGGAGUGAAAAAGAACCUGAAACCGUGUACGUACAAGCAGUGGGAGCACAGAGCAAUCUGUGUGACUGCGUACCUUUUGUAUAAUGGGUCAGCGACUUAUAUUCUGUAGCAAGGUUAACCGAAUAGGGGAGCCGAAGGGAAACCGAGUCUUAACUGGGCGUUAAGUUGCAGGGUAUAGACCCGAAACCCGGUGAUCUAGCCAUGGGCAGGUUGAAGGUUGGGUAACACUAACUGGAGGACCGAACCGACUAAUGUUGAAAAAUUAGCGGAUGACUUGUGGCUGGGGGUGAAAGGCCAAUCAAACCGGGAGAUAGCUGGUUCUCCCCGAAAGCUAUUUAGGUAGCGCCUCGUGAAUUCAUCUCCGGGGGUAGAGCACUGUUUCGGCAAGGGGGUCAUCCCGACUUACCAACCCGAUGCAAACUGCGAAUACCGGAGAAUGUUAUCACGGGAGACACACGGCGGGUGCUAACGUCCGUCGUGAAGAGGGAAACAACCCAGACCGCCAGCUAAGGUCCCAAAGUCAUGGUUAAGUGGGAAACGAUGUGGGAAGGCCCAGACAGCCAGGAUGUUGGCUUAGAAGCAGCCAUCAUUUAAAGAAAGCGUAAUAGCUCACUGGUCGAGUCGGCCUGCGCGGAAGAUGUAACGGGGCUAAACCAUG
rnacentral:rRNA from 1 species